rnacentral:rRNA from 1 species
UACGAGUGCUUCGAGCGUUAUCCGGAAUCAUUGGGCGUAAAGGGUGUGUAGGCGGUUAUGUUAGUCUCGUGUAAAAUUCUUCGGCUUAACCGGGGGCUCGCACGGGAAACGGCAUGACUUAGAGGAUGGAAGGGGUCUCUGGAACUCAUGGUGUAGCGGUGAAAUGCGUUGAUAUCAGUGGGAACAACCAAAGCAGAAGGCAAGAGACUGGUCCACUCCUGACGCUGAAACACGAAAGCGUGGGUCGCGAAUGGG